UUUAUUUGCAUCUGUCAACCUUCAUGAAGGAGGACAUCUUGUAAUAUAUUUGGCAACUGCUUAAUGGGAUCAAAUGGAAAGAAAUCGCAGAGGGAUUUCUCACAUAUACAAAUUUUCCUAAUUGCUUGGGUGCAAUUGAUGGAAAACAUAUAAGAGUGAUUCGGCCGCCGCACAGUGGAUCACUAUAUUUUAAUUAUAAGAAAUAUUAUUCUGUAGUGCUCCUCGCAAUGUGUGAUGCUGAUUAUAAUUUUACAUAUAUUAAUGUCGGUACCAGUGGAAGCAACGCCGAUUCAACCAUCUUUAGAAGGAGUCAAUUGUAUACGAAACUGGAAAGUAACACGUUGGGUAUCCCUGACCCGCAAGAGUUGCCUAUUAUUUGCCCCGAAGUAGCUUAUCCAUCUAGUGUAAGAGCAAAGUUGCCGUUCGUGAUAGUGGGAGACGAGGCAUUUGGUUUAUCAUCACAUGUGAUGCGGCCUUAUGCUCGUGAUAAUUUACCUUACAAAAAGAAAAUAUUUAAUUACCGUCUGUCCAGAGCUAGAAGGUACAUAGAAUGCACUUUUGGAAUUAUGUCAAAUAAAUUUAGAAUAUUUCACAGAUCCAUGAAUGUCAAGUUAGAUCUAGCACAAUUAAUAGUCAAGACGGCAUGUGUACUUCACAAUUUCAUAAGGAAACGGGAUGGCUACAAGGUCAGCCAUACAUUUGUCACAAAUGGUUUUACGGGACCACUACCCAGGCAGCAGACUGAAAGUAGUAAUACGUCGGCAAGUAAUAUCAGAGAUAUAUUUGCAGAUUACUUUAUCAAUGAAGGAAAAGUCUCCUGGCAACACCGAUAUAUAAUUAAUUAACUAAACUCAAAAGGUUUUAGAAGGUUUUUGAUGUUAUUUGUGAAUUAAAUAAUUAUGCUUAUAUUAAUAAAGUAAUGAUGCUUGUAUAAAUAAAAUAAUGAACCAAA